rnacentral:misc_RNA from 1 species
GAUGAAGAACGUAGCGAAAUGCGAUAAGUAAUGCGAAUUGCAGAAUUUCCGUGAGUCAUCGAAUCUUUGAACGCACAUUGCGCCCGCCAGUAUUCUGGCGGGCAUGCCUGUUCGAGCGUCAUUUCAACCAUCAAGCCUUCGCUUGUGUUGGGGCCCCGCGGCUGCCGCGGCCCCCUAAAUCCAGUGGCGGGCUCGUCGUCGUACCGAGCGCAGUAGACAUCCUCGCUCCGGGAACCCGACGGGUGCCGGCCGUGAAACCCCCCCCAUCAAGGUUGACCUCGGAUCAGGUAGGAAUACCCGCUGAACUUAAGCAUAUCAAUAAGCGGAGGA